UACGUAUGGAGCAAGCGUUAUCCGGAUUUACUGGGCGUAAAGGGAGCGUAGGCGGCCUGCCAAGUCUGAUGUGAAAUACCGGGGCUCAACCCCGGGGCUGCAUUGGAAACUGGCAGGCUGGAGUGCCGGAGAGGUAGGCGGAAUAAGUUAAGUAGCGGUGAAAUGCAUAGAUAUAACUUAGAACACCGAUAGCGAAGGCAGCUUACCAGACUGAGUCUGACGCUGAUGCACGAGAGCAUGGGUAGCGAACAGG
rnacentral:rRNA from 1 species